rnacentral:rRNA from 1 species
GUGCACCAGGCGCGAAACCUCCGCAAUACACGAAAGUGUGACGGGGCCAUCCCGAGUGCCGUCCGCUGAGGACGGCUUUUCCCCAGUGUACAUAGCUGGGGGAAUAAGGAGAGGGCAAGCCUGGUGUCAGCCGCCGCGGUAAUACCAGCUCUCCGAGUGGUGGGGACGCUUAUUGGGCCUAAAGCAUCCGUAGCCGGCUGGGCAAGUCCUCCGUUAAAUCCAACGAUUCAAUCGUUGGGCUGCGGGGAUACUGUCCAGCUUGGGGGCGGGAGAGGCCGACGGUAUUCCCGGGGUAGGGGUGAAAUCCUAUAAUCCCGGGAGGACCACCAGUGGCGAAGGCUGUCGGCUAGAACGCGCCCGACGGUGAGGGAUGAAAGCUGGGGGAGCGAACCGGAUUAGAUA